UUUAAAUUUCUCAGAAACUUGAAAUGGGGAUUGCUCAAACCCUAGCACCAGAUCAAAUCAACUAGGUUCAAAUAAAAAUAUUCUCAAUGAACCCAAAAUGAUCUUCAGAAAAGUUCAUUAUUUUUGGAUUGGUCUAGAACCUCUCCCAAAAAUGGUGCACAUUUUUCUAGGCCAUUUUGGAUUUUUGAAUUAAAUCAUAUAGUAUUUGCAUUUGGGCAUUUAAAUGCUAUAAAAUAUUUUAAAUGCUCAAAUAAUCCCAAACUGAAAUGUUUACUGUAGGAUAUAUUUCCAACAGUGGUCAUGAGAAGUUGCAUGAUUUUUGGGAUUGAUUUAGUAUUUUUAAUAAAGCCACAAAGUUGCAGAAAAAUAGAAAACAGUGAUUAAAAUAGGAAACAGAGAGAGAGAGAGAGAGGAUACUACCUGGGCCGCUUACCUGUUCAGCCUGGCAGCCCAAGUGGCCGGCCCAGCCCACCACCGCUUUCCCUCCUGUCGUCUUCCUCUUGCCAGUAGGAGCAGCUGCGUGCUCGCACGCGCGCGGCCGAGGAGGCCAGCUCCUUCCUGCCUGGCUGCCUCCUCCUCCCCCGGGACGUCUCCCGCAGCGCCACGCCACCCCCUCGGACCCCUCUCACUCUUCCCCGAGGCCCCCGCCCCUCUGCUCCCUCUCUUUCGCCCGAACCCGAGCGCAACCAUCGCCGCCAACUAGAACCACCGCGGCCACAGGCCCUCCCUCGCUUCUCCGACCAUAUCCAGAGAUCCGCGACGACACAAGGCUACUCCACGACGAAGCAGGCGAGCCCGGAGGCACCGCUGCGACGCCAUCGCCGUCUUCUCCAUCUCCAGCCACCGGAGAUCGCCACCGUCGUUCGGCACCGUCCGCGCGUCCCCCAAGGCCGCCGACCAGCUCUCUGGAUCCGUCAUGAGCUCCUCUACCUAGCCCCCUACCUCCUGUGCUCGAUUACGCCGCGUAGCCACCGCCCCCUUCGAUCCCGAGUGCUCCUUGUCGCUGGCCAUGUCGCCGUCGUGGCUACGGCCGUGCAAGCACGCGUCCGAGCGCACCACCUCAUUCAGUGCGUCCUCAGGAGCCUAACGCACGCACUCCGUCGCCCUGCCGUGCACCGUAGCCCUCUUUUCCUCUCCGCCCGAACUCCGGCGCCGCCGCAAGCUCUGCUCCGGCGAGCUCCGGCCACCCUGCGCCCUGCUGCUGCCUCUGCUCGAUGCGGCCGAGCGAGGGCUUCCUCCUGGUGCCCCCAGGGCGCCAAACGGUGACCCGCACGAGAAACCCGAGCAACUCCGGCGAAACCCUGCAACGUUUUUGGUCGCCGCCGGCUGAACUCCGGCGAGCCAGCGUGGCCGCGUGAUUAGCGCUAAUCACCACCAGCUAACCCUCCCCAGAGCCACUGACGUAUGGGCCCCACGCCCUUAAUUAAUCUUUAAUAUUUUCUGUUAAGUUUUAACCUAACCACCAUGGGCCCACACGUCAGCAUUGACUUUGCUGACGCAGCUGUUGACUGGUCCCACAUGUCAUCCACCCAAACCAGCCCUGUUACACUGACCCGUGGGUCCCAGCCGUCAGGUUUGACCUGGGCUGGCGCCUUUGACUUGCUGACGUCACCCUGACGCACUGCUGACGCAAAUAACUAAUUUCUGGAUUUAACUUAAUUCAGGAAAUUCUAGAAAAUAGUGCUAACUUCUAAAAUUCAUAUAAAUUCAACCGUAACUCAGAAUUAAAUAAUUUAUAUAUGAAAAAUGAUCAUAAAAAUCCAAUCUAUCCAUCUGUACCAUUUUCAUGCAUGUUAGAACAACUUGUGACUACUGUUUAGGACAAAUGUUAUGAAUGGCAUUUAAAUAACCACAUAUGGAGUUUGGAUUUGAAUUUUGGAUUCAAACCAACUUCAUUUAACUUGUUGCUAGUUGCAUUAGCUCAAACCACAGCAUAUUGCCAUGUCACAUUCAUGCAUCAUAUUGUUGCAUUGCAUUGAUUGUGUUUCUUCUUUGUUUGUCGGUAUUUGUCCCCUCUCAGUAGACGACAUUCCGACGAUGAGUUCGAUGACACCGAUGAAGAGCUAUAUUAUCUUUAGAAGUGCCAGGCAAGCAAAACCCCCUUGUUCAUUCCGAUACAAUCCUACUCUCUCACCCUGCUCUCUUUUACUGCAUUAGGACAACAACAAUUCAUCUGUUACUUGCUGCGGUAGCUGAACCUCUUUAUCCUCUGCAUGACCUGUCAUUCCACAGUAAAUAGAUGAAACCCACUAGCAUGAGUAGGAGUUGUUUGAGCCCUGUUGUGCCUACUCAUUCAUGCUUGUUGUCAUGCCUGCUACUGCUUAGAGUUGAGCCAGGUCUGAUUCAUCAAGGAUGAAUCAGAGGCGUGUGAACAUGUCCUACUGUUGAGAGCUAAGUGUGUGAACACGAUUUGGUAAAGGUAGCGGUGAGAGGCCAUGUAGGAGUACAUGGUGGGUUGUCUCAUUGCAGCCGUCCUUAGGAACUGAGUUCUGUGUUUGUGAUCCAUGAUACAGUUACUACCAUGCAUUGGGCCCGAAACCAAUGGACCCUCUCAGCUUCUUAUUCACCCUAGUCCUCUGUCCAGGAGUUGCAAGUAGUUUCUGGUGUUUGUAGUAUGCUGGAGGCCGUGGGCAGCGCUGACCGGAGGGGUGGGCUGUGAUGCGGUAGGCACGUGGCCGGGUAUACCGGGCACCCGUUUGGUGUCACGGAACCCUGUACACAUCGUUUGGGGCUGUGAGCGAAACUUCGGCUGGAUCUCCUCAUGGAUGGAACCCGAAUAGGCGAUAAACCUGGACUAGAGACUUGAGUGUUUAGGUAGGUCGUGGCCGACACCCACGUUGGGCUUCCGCUUGAAGGUUGCCGAGUACAUGUCGUGUAAAUGACGGUAAGUGGUGAGAGCGUGUGUGAAGAAGUACACCCCUGCAGGGUUAACAUCAUCUAUUCGAAUAGCCGUGUCCGCGGUAAAAGACUUCUGGGUUGCCUAUACAGUUCAUAGAAAAGUGAAAGUGGUUACUCUAAAAUGCGCAAGAUAAGCGUGAGUGCUAUGGUUGGUGUUCUCGUAGGGAGACGGGAGCGGAUCCAUAGUGGUGUAUUGAUAUGGUGAAUAUGUGGACUCGUGUGCGCCACCUCAAAAGAGUUACUUGCAUUCGUAGUUCAGGAUAGCCACCGAGUCAAAGCUGGCUUGCUGCAGUCAAACCCCACCAUCCUCUUUGUUGAUAAUGAUGCAUAUGUAGUUAGUUCUGAUGUAAGUCUUGCUGGGUACAUUUGUACUCACGUUUGCCUAUUUUAUGUUUUUGCAGAGAGACGUCAGUCUCGCUAGUAGUUCUGCGUGGUCUUCGACAUUUAGCUUGUUACCUCAGCUACGAUCUUGUGCCCUCGGCAGGAUCUGGUAGAUAGUCAGGCUUCUCAGCCUUUUUCAUUUGUAGAUGUCUGUACUCAGACAUGUUAGCUUCCGCUUGUGCCUUGAUUUGUAUGCUCUGAAUGUUGGGUCAUGAGACCCCUGUUUGUAAUAUCUCGCUCCUCGGAGCCUAAUGAAUACAUUUUUGAGUCGUAGAGUCAUUUUGUGAUGCCAUGUUGUAUUUGCACAUAUCGAGCAUAUUGUGUGUAUGUUAUUGAAAUGCUUGGUAUGUGUGGGAUCUGACUAUCUAGUUGUUUAUCUUUAGUAGCCUCUCUUACCGGGAAAUGUCUCCUAGUGUUUCCACCAAGCCAUGGUAGCUUGCUACUGCUCCGGAACAUUUAGGCUGGCCGGCAUGUGUCCUUCUUCGUUCCUGUGUCUGUCCCUUCGGGGAAAUGUCACGCGAUGAAUACCGGAGUCCUGUUAGCCCGCUACAGCCCGGUUCACCGGAGUCCUGCUAGCCUAGUGCUACAGCCUGGAUUCACUCGCUGAUGACCGACACGUUCGAUGCUGGGUCAUGGAUGCCUGUCCCUGUAAGUUUGUGCCACUUUGGGUUUACGACUAGCCAUGUCAGCCCGGGCUCCUUAUCAUAUGGAUGCUAGCGACACUAUCAUAUACGUGUGCCAAAAGGCGCAAACGGUCCCGGGCAAAGGUAAGGCGACACCCGUGGGAAUACCGUGCGUGAGGCCGCAAAGUGAUAUGAGGUGUUACAUGCUAGAUCGAUGUGGCAUUGAGUCAGGGUCCUGACAGCGUUGGUAUCAGAGCUUGACUGCCUGUAGGAUUACCAAGCCAAACUGGUCGAAGUUGAGUCUAGAAAUUCUUUAGUUAUAUAAGGGAAUUGAUUGUGGGAUGGAACGUAAGGCUCUUUUUACUCCUUAUACCUCAUGACCUUCUGAUCCGAGUCAUCCUCUUCUCUUCUACGGGGAUUAAGAACUAGGCCUUCUCAUCUAUCUAUCAGGAUCACGUGUUACUAAUCCAUAGACUAAUAGGAUUGUGGAUUUAAGCCUCGUUUCCGUUCCUAUUACUUCCAUAUGUUAACUGUUGAUCUCGAAACCUUGAUAUUGUGCUUCUGAGUGGCUAUGCCACCAUUUUUGUAGUGUGUCUCAAAUCUUUUUGAGCAUUUACAGCCGUUAUGCUGUCCGAGUCAUCCCAGGGUUCUAAACAAUCUGAUGCACUUGCAAAUCCUUUCCCUCUAGUUUGAUGUUCCUUUGGGCCAGGUUAAUCACACUAAUUGCUGAGUUGAGGUAUUCUAUUGCCUCGACAUAUAUGUUGGAUCUAUUAUUAUGACCCUAGGUGUUUUAGGGAGUCACCUGGUAAUCUAGCAAUGUUUAAUGUUUCCAGUGUGAAGAUUCUGGCCAUCAUUCUUGAAAGCAUCUCGUGAUGCUACUUAGGAGUAGGUAUUCUAUUCCUGGGUUCUUGAGCCCGAGAUUCACCCUGCUUACUUCAUGUUGAUAGUGUUUGCUAGCUCAUUUAGGUUAUUAGUAACCUUGCGAUAGUCCUCGAGGUCCGUGGUAUAUCAUUCUUCCAAAUACCAUGAACCAUCCUUGACAGGAGUUCCUUUGGACCAAAAGAUCACAAUAAGAGUGCUCUUGAUGAGUUCUUCAUUCUACAUUGUGAAUCUGCCAACUCUACCUUCCUGCAUGGGUUAUCUGGAAGAAAUGUUGAGCUUUGCUCGACAUACUAAUCUAUGCAUCCACAACUCAGAAAAUCAGAUGUUCUUUUGAGUUGUCCCUUUAGUUGUCUUCUGACCGUCGUCUAUCAAUUGAUAGUCAAGAGUAUGCAUGCAUUCGUUCAUCGAUGCCUAUUAUUCUUGUGGUCCGUCAAGCCAUCCUGUUCUGGUAUGACUAGGAGAAACAAACUCCAGUACCUCAUCCAUAUCCAGGAUUGGGUCAAAGCAAUUGUACUUCGCAGAUCGAAAUGCUAAUCCAGCUUUUGAUUCUGUUCCACCCCGAAGUUUUGCCCUCUUUAUGUCAGGAUUGUCAUGAGAAUUGCAUCAUCUCUUAUAAAUUCUUGAUGUAGUGAUACUUCUCACCAUCAUCAUUCAUUCCUCGGUCCUUGUGCCGUUGUAACUGGAAUGUUGACAGGUGAACUAUGAUGUGUGAAAUCAAUACUCUUGGCAACUUUGUUGCUUGGUAAUUAAAGGACAAUAACCUCAUUCUUAGCAUGUUGGUUAUUGAAUCAUCACCCUAAGGAUGAUCGUGCUACCUAGUCCUUAUUUCUUGUGCACUCUUCGAUCAAUGAGUUGGGAUUGUGCCAAUCCCUCGCUCUUUUGAUCAUAUAGUCUUGUCUCGAAAGCAAUAUUUUUCUCAAGCUUAGUUACAUAUCGGUGGUUCGUGAUUUUCCGGAUAUCUUCUUGGAAGUAUUACUAGGUUGUCCCCUGACCAUUAUGUUAAGCUCGUGAUCAAGUUAGUUUUCCUCUAAACCAGUCAUUCUCCAAGAAUCUGUGUUGGAUACCCCUGCGCUAGUUGGUUAAGCCAAACAACAAAUUGGAGAGUUGGAAGAUAAAAGCUUGGCCGACUUAGUUCAUUUUUAGGGAUAUCCUUUUGAGGGUAUGUUGAAGAAAGAUGAUAUCUUCACCGAUUGGUCCCUGUGAUCAGUUGUUGGAGCUAUUGUCCUGCCAAAACUUUGAUUUGAGUGUGGGCUAUUCUCAAAUCGAAUCAGAACCAACGAUGUUCGUAAUGUUGUCUUACUCGUGGAUUUUCCUCGAGCAUACACCAUUAUGUCUUUUGGAUCUGACCAAUACUAUCACCUUGUUCACAUAGUUAUGGAAUUCCAUCCCAUGGGAAUCUGGAUGAAUUGUUGUUGAGCCCAUCGACAACGUCCUUGUCUUCUCCAUAAUCUUGUUGAACAUUAAGCUAGUACUGGAAACUUUUGAAAGCAUUUCUUCAUGCUAGCUCAUGAAGCAUAUGCAUGGAUGGAAGAAGUGACUUCCUCUAAUUCAUGUGCAUCUAAUGUAAGUUGCCGCCGUGAAUUCGAUAAAGUCAAUGUUGCUUCCUCUGGAAUCAUCCCAAGUUAGUCAUGCACGUGCGAAGCUCCCUAUGGUUUGAUAGGUUGGCUGCCUCCACUCCAUAUGUGUUCCUAGCACACCAAGCCACUGAUUGACUUGUUCAAGGAGAAGAAGUCCCUUCGUAAGAGCUAAUCAUAUGACUUAUGCAAGGACUUCGUUAUUCGCAAUGAUGGUUCCCCACCUGAACUCGGUAGUGUUUAAUUAUAAGACUACUACUUGGUCAUGCUUGUCUGAGACAGCGUGUUCACAUGUGUGUAGCAGAACCAGCUCAUGUUUUGGAGCUUACUACCGUAGUCCAUUUGCCUAGAAUCUCGCAAUGUCGUCUCGUCGAUUUGUGUUGCAAACUUUCAUUCUUCUUUCUAGACUUGAUGAGUCUGGAAUAUUCUGACACCAACCAGAUCUGAAUCUCAGGCAGACUUGAUGGUUGGAACGUUUCCCAAGAACUACAAUAUUGGUCUCUUUGUAACCCGGUAAAGUGGAUGUUGUGGCCAACACACCCAGCCGGAAGACCCAUUAUUGUAGUAUCUUGAUUGAGAAAGUUGGCCACCUCCCCAUAAGGAUCUCGUAGAAUUUAUUCUAGUAGUUGUUCCUUAUGUAUUCUUGAGCUUCCGAAGUCCGAACUGUUACUUGAUGUUCUAGAUACCAAAACGUUUCAACAAAUGGAUUGCGCUAGCACAUCAAGGAGAACAUUAGAAGCGGAGUGCUAAAUGUUUCUCGGUCGAUCAUCCAGAUUUUGUCCCCUUGGUCUCGCUAAGGUGAAAUCUGAGAAAGUGUUAUCUUCCUUUGCAUCUGCAUCAUCCAUCGCUAUUCAUCAUGGUAGUAUGUUGUGUUGCCAGGAUCCUUGACACGGCUGUUGGUAAAACCUUGAUGAAUAUGGAAAUGCUCAAGUUCUUGAGAGCACGCGCAAGCGCUAGGUGUUAUCAUCGGCACUAACUGGGAUUGCUCUCAGUUUCCUCGAUUAUGCUAUAACUUUUCAAACAGUGGACUCACUCUCUACUGUUGAGCUUCUCCCCAGUUACUAAAAUCAUUCCUUGUGUUGUUUUCAACAAGGUAAUCCACAUCAUCCAUUCUAGUCCAAGCAUGUUAUUCUACCGAACUCCUCCAACUGAUCGUUUGUGAUUUGCCUUAAGCUAGUAUAAAGAGUUUCAAUGAUCUCUGAAUCAAAGGUAAUUCUUUUUGCCACUUAAGGGGAUAUUUCCACGAGUCACCUCCUCCAAGAUGUCUUGUUAUGUUAUCAUGGCAAUCCAACUCCUCGCUAUGUUGACAACCAUUCACCAACCUCUUAAGUCUGGAAUUGAUGCCUACCUAGCGAACCCUCGUCCUUUGUUCCACUCCAUCCCUCUAGAUGUGUGUUUUGUGUCUCAACUUGAGUGAUGUUGCUAUGUCUCAUUCCAUGAGUUGAUCCUAAGUUGUUUGAUCUUCGAGAAGAUCAGUUCUUCUAGAGUUUUCCUUUCCUCUUCUUGUCAUGUUAGUUGGAGUUCUCAGAGGAAGACUUCGAGUCAAAGAUGGUGAUUGAAUGAACGUUCAUUUGAAGUGCAACCUGGGUCGUGAAGAUUGCGUUAGUUGCGUUUCCCCUUCAUGCUACCCUAUGCUUGAAUCUCGGGACGAGAUUCUCGUUUAGUGGGGGUGAGUUGUCACAUCCCUAGUUCUGGUAUGCACUAGGCUAGCCCUUCAUGUGUGUAUCAUGUUUAAAUUUCUCAGAAACUUGAAAUGGGGAUUUCUCAAACCCUAGCACCAGAUCAAAUCAACUAGGUUCAAAUAAAAAUAUUCUCAAUACCCCCAAAAUGAUCUUCAGAAAAGUUCAUUAUUUUUGGAUUGGUCUAGAACCUCUCCCAAAAAUGGUGCACAUUUUUCUAGGCCAUUCUGGAUUUUUGAAUUAAAUCAUAUAGUAUUUGCAUUUGGGCAUUUAAAUGCUAUAAAAUAUUUUAAAUGCUCAAAUAAUCCCAAACUGAAAUGUUUACUGUAGGAUAUAUUUCCAACAGUGGUCAUGAGAAGUUGCAUGAUUUUUGGGAUUGAUUUAGUAUUUUUAAUAAAGCCACAAAGUUGCAGAAAAAUAGAAAAC
rnacentral:lncRNA from 1 species